AAUCGAGUUGUGGGUCCUACUUCAGACUCCACUUCCCUGGGGCCAGAGAGGACCAGAUGCCCAGAGGGCUCCAACGCUGGAGGCGGCUGGGAAUUCGCCCAUGAGUGAGCCUUGACUCUGCUUUCCAAGGAGAACUCUUCUGAAUCCUAACAGCAUUGGAUGAAUUUGCAUAUUUCUUAAGUGCAGAGGAGCUCCAGGCAUGGAAGGACACUCUUAUAACAUGAAGCAAAGGUGCCCUGGCUGUCAGUCCUGGGUUCCUGGUUUUGCCUUUCUCAGGCUUCUGACUGCCACCAGCCAUCUCCUCCACCGGCUCUUUUGUGGAGGAUGCAAUGCCCAGGCACCACAGGGCUGCACUUACAUGUAAGCCCAGCCCAGCCACGGGCUGACAGGGUGUGUGAGGCCCUGUGGAGGAGGCCAGCACAUGAAAUAGUGUUUACAAGGAUGUUCCAUGAAAGUCACCAGGACAUGGGAGAAAGGGAUUAGGGAGAAGAGUUCCGAGUCACAGUAAGGCCACAGCAACAUCACUGGGAACAGGGGGCAAGCGUGUGAAUCAGGAAGGCCACCUCACAAUUGGCGCUAAUUGCCCCAGGAGAGAGCCAAGAACAACGUGGCCAAAGAGAAGAGCGUCUGGCCCGCAGAUCCCGCACCUGGGAGGCAGAAACGUGCUGUUGGGCAGUGGAUAAUGGGCGCCCAUGAGAGCCAUCCGGACAUCUGGGCUCCCCAUGCAGGAAAAUGUAACCCUUCAGGCCCCACUUGCCAUCUGCCUUUUGAGUUCUGGUUUUCUGUAAGUCCUCGGACAUCAAGGGAGAGCCCGUGGCUUUGUGAGUGGAUGGGUGGGAAUUACCGUGACUCCCUCCGUAAGCACCUGGUCACCAGGGAGCCUGAACAGGGCAGCUCCCAGUGCCCAUGGGAGGAGCUCAUUCUAUCAACAGAUCUCCAAGUGUGGCCUGGUAGCUCUCCCAGGGAGCCCAGGCUGGUGCCCCAGCCUCUCAGAAAGUUGCCAGGGUUCCUUAGGGAGAAGUGGCCUGAGCUUGGGAGGGCACCCUCUUUGUCCUCUCUACUCUCCCCAUCACAGUGUGGUUAUAUCUCUGGGGGCAGAUGAUGAACCUGCUCUCCAGGAGAAUCUCCUUAUGUGGACAGGGUAGGAGUAGUAAGGUGGGGGCUCUUUAUGAAUUCUGGAGAAAUAAACUUCAUUUGUUCUUCUCUUUGCAAUUCAUUAGUUUCUGCAGAAGGUCUAUUUUUCUAAUUAUUUUUAGCCUGGCCUAAUGGUGCAAUGUUGAGCUCCCUGAGAACACAUGGAGGUUAGUGGAGGAAAGAGACUAGCGGGUGGGGGAGUGCCAGAUGGGGAGAGACUCCCGCCAGCUGCAGUGAAUCCUGACUCGGACGCAGCACUCAAAGACCAGCCGGGAGCUGAGCUUUCCCUCAGUCUGCCUUGCUUCCUUUGCAAGGUUGUCCAGAGCUUUUGCCAAUAAAUUAAUUUAAUUUCAAGCAGGCCACAUCCAAAGGACUUAAAAAACAAUACCCAGUACAGCCAUGCCUGUCAAUCUAGUGCCUGGCCUUGGUGGAAGCUGGUUGUUGUCAACACUCAAUUAGGAUCACCUGGGAAGAUUUUUAAAAAACGAGCAGGUCAGGGCCUCACCCCGCGGAGAUUGCUAUUCAUUUGGUCCAGGGUGGGGAUGCCUCACCCGCAUCCCAGGUGAGUCUACCUUCCGCUGUAGGCAACGUGAUUGCUCAAAGUCCCACACAUCUGCAAAUCAGACUGUUCUUGGAACUGAGAACAAAGAGUGCAGUGUCACAUGAGGAGAAAUAUCUCUCAUAAUAAAGUCCAUCCUGGGCUGGUGACACCCUGUCUCUACAAAACGUAAGAAAAGUGGCUGGGUGUGGUGGUGUGUGCUGGUGAUCCCAGCUACACCAGAAGCUGAGGCAGGAAGAUCUCUUGAGCCCAGGAGGUAGAGGCUGCAGUGAGCUAUGAUCACACCACUGCACUCCAGACUGGGCGACAAAGCAAGACGCUGUCUCAAAAAAGAAAAGAAAAAUCUUGCCGGGCGCAGUGGUUCAUGCCUGUAAUUCC
rnacentral:lncRNA from 10 species